AGGGUGUUCAGGCUGUCUGGUAAGUCAGAGGUGAAAGUCGGUUGCUUAACGAUCGAAUGGCCUUUGAAACUGUCAGACUUGAGUAUGGAUGCGGUAGCCGGAAUGUGUAGUGUAGCGGUGAAAUGCAUAGAUAUUACACAGAACACCGAUUGCGAAAGCAGCUUACCAAACCAGCACUGACGCUGAAGCACGAAAGCGUGGGUAGCGAACAGGAUUAGAUACCCUGGUAGUCCACGCAGUAAACGAUGCUCACUCGCUGUUGGCAAUAGAUCGUCAGCGGCUAAGGGAAACCGAUAAGUGAGCCACCUGGGGAGUACGAUCGCAAGAUUGAAACUCAAAGGAAUUGACGGGGGCCCGCACAAGCGGUGGAACAUGUGGUUUAAUUCGAUGAUACGCGAGGAACCUUACCUGGGCUUAAAUGUACGAUGCAUAAGUGUGAAAGCACUUUUUCCUUCGGGACUUUGUACAAGGUGCUGCAUGGUUGUCGUCAGCUCGUGCCGUGAGGUGUCGGGUUAAGUCCCAUAACGAGCGCAACCCCUAUUGUUAGUUACCAGCGCGUAAAGGCGGGGACUCUAGCGAAACUGCCGGUGUAAACCGCGAGGAAGGUGGGGAUGACGUCAAAUCAGCACGGCCCUUAUGUCCAGGGCUACACACGUGUUACAAUGGCCGGUACAGCGGGCAGCGAGGCAGCGAUGCCGAGCGAAUCUCGAAAGCCGGUCCCAGUUCGGAUUGGAGUCUACAACCCGACUCCAUGAAGGUGGAAUCGCUAGUAAUCGCGCAUCAGCCAUGGCGCGGUGAAACGUUCCCGGGCACUUGUACACACCGCCCGUCAAGCCAUGGAGUCUGGGGUGCACUGAAGCCCGUAACCGCGAGGAGCG
rnacentral:rRNA from 1 species